GCCUGGGUGGCUCAGUGGUUGAGCAUCUGCCUUCAGCUCAGGUCAUGAUCCUGGGGUCCUGGGAUCAAGUCCCACCACAUGCU
rnacentral:tRNA from 1 species